GAUGAAGAACGUAGUGAAAUGCGAUAAGUAGUGUGAAUUGCAGAAUUCAGUGAAUCAUCGAAUCUUUGAACGCACAUUGCGCCCCUUGGUAUUCCAUGGGGCAUGCCUGUUCGAGCGUCAUUUGUACCUUCAAGCUCUGCUUGGUGUUGGGUGUUUGUCUCGCCUCUGCGUGUAGACUCGCCUUAAAACAAUUGGCAGCCGGCGUAUUGAUUUCGGAGCGCAGUACAUCUCGCGCUUUGCACUCAUAACGACGACGUCCAAAAGUACAUUUUUACACUCUUGACCUCGGAUCAGGUAGGGAUACCCGUUGAACUUAAGCAUAUCAAUAAGCGGAGGA
rnacentral:misc_RNA from 1 species